GCUUUUGUGCCUUCUAUUCAGCCCAUUUGGCCAUUUUGUGAUCGGGCGGAGGAAAAACAGCAUUCUGCAAGGGCCAAUUCGUCCAUUUUGUUGGAGAAGCCGUCCGUCGGUAGUUGGUUGCAUUGUUGAGGAACUGAAUAAACAAAUCAGAGAACAUGGAGGGACCCCCUAGAGGCGGUUUCCAGAGAGGGAGAGGAGGGCCUCCAGGGAGAGGUGGACCGCCAGGCAGAGGAGGUCCUCCUCGUGGAGGAGGAGGUCGAGGAAACUUUAUGGGUGGAGGUGAUAUGCGUGGCAGGGGCGGUCCAAGAGGUGGAGGUAUGAUGCGUGGAGGACCUCCGGGCAGAGGUGGACGAGGAAUGCCACCACGUGGGGGUCCUGGUGGUCCUCCUAGAGGUGGAGGUUUAGGGGACAGAGGUGGAUUUGGAGGUGGCAUGACAAGACCCAAUGGCUUCUUUAGAGGACGUGGCGGUCCCAUGAGGGGACGAGGAGACUUUGGGAAUGCUCCCCACGGUGGCCCCCCACCUCCACGUGGUGAUGGUACUAGAGGAAAUUUCAGAGGAGGUUUUCCUGGGCGUGGUGGCCGAGGAAUGGACAGGGGAGGUCCCAUGUCUCGAGGGGGCAGAGGCGGUGGUGGUUUUCAAGGAAGAGGAGGUGGCAAUUAUGGGAGUGGACCUCCACCUCCAGGCCCUGGCCCAGUAAAACGUGGUGCACCAGCAGGGGGACCUCCCAUGCCCGCCAAGCGUGGUAGGUUCGAUGGGGGCCCACCAGCUAAUGGAUACUCACACCAGCCUCCUCCUACACAAUACCAAUCUUAUGAACCUCCUUCAGUAGAUACAUAUUCCGCACCACCUGCUGCACCUUAUGGUUCGGGUCCAAGCUCAUACCAAACUUACAGUGGAUCGGGACAGUAUGGAGGGUCUCAAAGCUAUUCACAGGGUGGUGGCUAUGGUGGCUACUCGACUCCUGGCUACGACACCGCUCCCUACGACCAGUCUGCUGGUGGCUAUUCCACUGUCCAACCUGACAACAGGACAGGCUACCCCCCUCCCGCUGAUCCUUACUCCGGAUACAACAGCAAAGCUGCCGAUCCUUACUCAGGCUAUAACGCCUCCGGUUACAGUUCUGCACCCUCCUACGAUGAUAGAAGUGGAUAUUCUCAGCCUCCAGUAUAUGAUUCGUCAGGCUAUGCAUCUUCAGCAGCUUAUCCAAGUCAAGAUUAUGGAAUGCAGCCACAGUAUUAGUCAACAAGCUGGAUCACUUGUGACUCCCUUUGAGUCAUAUGCUGGCGCUUGUAAAGUGUGGCAGGACUGCGGCAGCAAUUAUACCUGAUUGCUGAAAUGAGGCCAAAAGGUGGAAAAUAAAGUUGGUGAAUCUCUCUAUCUGUGUCCUGAUCGGUGACCAGUCGUCAAAUUUGUCAUUUGCCUCUGUCAUGUUGCAACGCUUGAUGAGCAUGAGUGGGCCUGGCUGUUCACACAUCAGAGAGACAAGUGCUCUGAGUGUUCAUGAAGGUCAGAGAAGAACCAGUACCUCAACGAAGAAGCUCAAAUUAGAAAGAUUAUCUUAUGUUAUGUGAUUAGAGGUUUUUAAUUUAGGUCAUUAAGCUCUGCAAGUGGAAAUCUAAGCUAAAAAACGUGUAAAAAAAUAAAUACUUUUAUAAUAA
rnacentral:misc_RNA from 1 species